GUGGGGAAUAUUGGACAAUGGGGGGAACCCUGAUCCAGCCAUGCCGCGUGUGUGAAGAAGGCCUUUUGGUUGUAAAGCACUUUAAGCGAGGAGGAGGCUACCGAGAUUAAUACUCUUGGAUAGUGGACGUUACUCGCAGAAUAAGCACCGGCUAACUCUGUGCCAGCAGCCGCGGUAAUACAGAGGGUGCAAGCGUUAAUCGGAUUUACUGGGCGUAAAGCGCGCGUAGGUGGCUAAUUAAGUCAAAUGUGAAAUCCCCGAGCUUAACUUGGGAAUUGCAUUCGAUACUGGUUAGCUAGAGUAUGGGAGAGGAUGGUAGAAUUCCAGGUGUAGCGGUGAAAUGCGUAGAGAUCUGGAGGAAUACCGAUGGCGAAGGCAGCCAUCUGGCCUAAUACUGACACUGAGGUGCGAAAGCAUGGGGAGCAAACAGGAUUAGAAACCCGUGUAGUCC
rnacentral:rRNA from 1 species